UUUAAGUACAGCGUGAAUAUCGCGAAGUUAAACCAUGUAAAAGAUUUGGGAAAAGUUUAUUGAAAAGUUCCAGAUAGCUGAUUUAAAAUUAUAAAAUUAGGUAUUCAAAAAAGGAGUUAAAGAUGCUUAAUAUUAAUUACUAUUGCGAGAUAUAGUAACAAAAGUUGGUAUUUUGUACCAACAUUCUAAGACUCUUUAAUUGAUGUUUGAAGAGAUGUGAAAGGAACAUCAAAAUCCACGUUUCUACGCAUUUUAUUGGCCAAUAUAAGACGAUGAACGUAUUCCGUAUCUUUGAUAUCUGCGGACGCAUCAAACGCUCGUUUAAUGUAAUUUUUAUUUGAUACCGGCAAAUAUACCGGAUAUUCAAUAUUAAACGAUAUGACUAGACUUCCUCUUUUCUUCGGACUUUCCGGCAGCGGCAAUCCUUGGCCAGGAUAGAUUCUGUGAAACGUAAAAUAAUUAUUCACUGAAUGAAACAAAGGGGAGAAGUAGAGAAAGACUGGAUCAGGGAUAGAGACGGUAGACACGUACGUGAUGACAGACGUUAGUGGUAUUCGAAGGGUUCUGUC